UACGUAGGGUGCGAGCGUUGUCCGGAAUUAUUGGGCGUAAAGAGCUCGUAGGCGGUGUGUCGCGUCGGCCGUGAAAACCUGGGGCUUAACUCUGGGCGUGCGGUCGAUACGGGCAUCACUAGAGUUCGGCAGGGGAGACUGGAACUCCUGGUGUAGCGGUGAAAUGCGCAGAUAUCAGGAGGAACACCGGUGGCGAAGGCGGGUCUCUGGGCCGAUACUGACGCUGAGGAGCGAAAGCCAGGGGAGCAAACGGG
rnacentral:rRNA from 1 species